UACGUAGGGUGCAGGCGUUAAUCGGAAUUACUGGGCGUAAAGAGCUCGUAGGUGGUUUGUCGCGUUGUUCGUGAAAACUCACAACUCAAUUGUGGGCGUGCGGGCGAUACGGGCAGACUGGAGUACUGCAGGGGAGACUGGAAUUCCUGGUGUAGCGGUGGAAUGCGCAGAUAUCAGGAGGAACACCGGUGGCGAAGGCGGGUCUCUGGGCAGUAACUGACGCUGAGGAGCGAAAGCGUGGGGAGCGAACAGG
rnacentral:rRNA from 1 species